UACAGAGGUCCCAAGCGUUGUUCGGAUUCACUGGGCGUAAAGGGUGCGUAGGUGGUGAGGUAAGUCGGAUGUGAAAGCUCGGAGCUCAACUCCGAAAUGGCAUUGGAAACUACCUUGCUCGAGGGUUGGAGGGGGGACUGGAAUGCUUGGUGUAGCAGUGAAAUGCGCAGAUAUCAGGAGGAACACCGGUGGCGAAGGCGGUGCUCUGGGCCAGUACUGACGCUGAGGAGCGAAAGCGUGGGUAGCAAACAGG
rnacentral:rRNA from 1 species